CUGCAAAUGUCCUUUGGACUCCCACAGAGAUACCCUGUUUAGAGUGAAUCUUGCUUUCCAGAAGUGAAGCGGGUUUUCUGCUGAUAGACUUGUGAGCACAGUUCACAACUAUCCUGUUUCCAGACCUGAUUGCUCAUCAGUGGGUGGUGACAAGCAUUUAUCCUCCUUCUCUCCCUCCAAGCACAGCUCUGAAAUGCCUGUGGGAUCACUGUGUAAAGGGACCUGGUAGUGAAUACUCCUGUAAUGUGACCAGUGGGGUAUUUGUUUAUCUGGCCCAGGUUUGGGCUUGCUCCUGUCAUGCCCUGGUUUCCAUGUGCCCAGUCUCAGUGCCCUGUCACUUUCCUGCCAUCACCCACUGCUCUUGUUGGGCUUGGAGUUGGGAUGCGUGGCGCUUGUCAAUAUCAUUUUGUGGACGGUUUCGCAGGGCUCUCAGAGGUACCUCAAAUAGCACUAUUUAGAAAAAGCCUGCCCAGUCACUUGUGAAAGCGCCCUUAAAUUACAGCCCUAAGUGAAGAUGUCGUUCCUUGGAACUCACUUUCAAAAUUUAUUUAUUUUAAUGCUCAGGUCCUCUUGGAGUUGGGGUUUCGAUAUUCUUGUCUCGGCUGACCUUUCCCGUCCUCCCUGUACCACGUACAGCAACAUUGAUUUUGGGCUACCACGAACAUCUGCUAUACACCAUCUCACGCUCUCCUGCCAACACCCUCAUUUUCUUCUUGGGAACUACCUCUACUCUGAGCCAGUGUGAUUCAGGUCUCACCAAGUUGCUGAGGUUGGCUUUGAACUUGUUAAUCCUCCUGCUUCAGACUCCUGAGUUGCUGGGAUUACAGGCUUGCAGCACCAUGCCCGGCUCGCUCCUUUCUUUCUUGAUCUUGAGACCUACAACAUGCAAGACGGUGUCACUGAGCUGGAAAUGGGACAAAAGGAGUGAAUUCAUGAUAAACCCAACUGCAUGGAUGAAUCUUUGAGAUGUUCUGCUGAGCAAAUGAAGACAGAUAGGAAACAGUGUGUUCUGCCUUAGCCCAAUGACAUGAAGUUUGACAACAGCCAACACUGUGCUGUCAGAAGGACUGCUGGUUGCCUCAGGUGGGCAUGAGGAUAUUGACUGCAAGGAGCACAAUGCGGCUUUCUGGGGUGAUACCAUGAUGACAGUUGUGGUAUGAGUAUAACACAAUGGAACUAAGUGCCAUCUGGGCCCAGGAGGAGACUAACUAAUCAGUGUUGCUUUAAAUGGUGGGAAGUCAAGAAGAGCUACUGUGAAACAUGAGCUGGACUGUGCACCGAAGGGUAAUUUAGAUGGAGGAACAGCCUGGGUGUGUUCCAUGAUCAGACGUUUAUCCCGUAUUUACUGUGUCCCAAGCCCUGAGGAUAGAGACACUAAUAGAGAGGAGCAGCCACUGGUCAGAAGGAGUUUACCACCCAAUGGAGGAGAAGAUCUGCAUAAUGUCACAGAAUGAGCAAAGGAAUGGAGGAAUGGACAUCCUCAGUGUUCAAAGGCAGAGAGUGAUGGGGAGGGUGGUGACCAGGGGAGGGUGGGGCGGCCAAGUCUUGAAGGAGUUUAUGUGCUGGACCCAUAGGACAAGACUCCAUCUGAAAGCCAGGGAGGAGGGCAAUGUCCUCACUGGGGAGAAGAUAGAGGAGUGACAUGCUCAAAACCUUAUCUUAGAAAAAUUAUCUCAAACUUUCCAACCUGGGCCAUAUGAUUGGUUGCAUUCACAUCCCCUGUCAGCAGGAGGUAGGGAGGAUUGAACAGGAGGACCAGCCAGGAGACUGAUACAGGAUGACAAAUUGGUUACUUAGGCUGAGCGAUGUGGGUAUUCUAUGUGUGGUGACUUGAUAAACAAAAUAUGAUGUGACCAUUUGACAGAAUAUUAUUUAACAACUGUGUCAUAAAAGGUGAAUUUUUGAUACAUACUACAACAUGGAUGAACUUUGAAAACACCAUGCGAAUGAAAGGAGCCAGUUACAAAUGACCGUUUAUUGUACAAUUCUGUUUACAUGAAAUGUUCAGUAUUGGAAAAUCUAUAGACAGAAUGCACAAUAGUGGUUGUCUAGGCUGGAUGAGGGGAGGGAGAAUGAGGUGGUGACUGCUAAUGGGCACAUGAUUUCUUAUUGGGAUGAUGUAAAUGUUUUAAAAUUUGAUCACGGUGAUGGUUUCCCAACUGUAUUUUAUAAUGUAAAUAAAUGAAUGAUAUGGAAUCUAAACCAUAUCUCAAUAAAGGUAUUUAAAAAGCAAA